GCGUGAAGACAUGGGGGAGAAGCUGAGGCUGGAGUCGCCCGUGGGGGCCGAGCCCGCCGUCUACCCGUGGCCGCUGCCGGUCUACGAUUCCAGGGAAAAGGCCUGGGCUGCGGCCACAGUGGGCGGGGCCCCCAGGCCAGGCCGCCCCUCCAGGAACCCUGGAAGGGCUCCUGGAGGCUCCAGGCGGCUCCUCCCCCGGCGCCGCCCUCCCUCCCGGAAGGCCUCGGGGCAAAGCGGUCCCACCUCCUCGCCCAGAACGGAGCCCGCGUUUCCGCAGAGCUGGAACUCCCGGCUCGGGGUCUCUUCCCUCCGCCGUCACUGAAGUGCCCCGGAGCCCGAGGGGAGGGCGUCCUCACUGAGGCGGCCAGCUCUGGAGGGGCCCCGGCGGCCGAAGCCGUGACAGUCCUGGGGACCGCGGGCCAGUGAGCUGUCUGAGAUGUCGUGGGAGUUGCCUCUAACCAGGACCUGAUACCCAAUGCCCUGACAACGCUGCCUUUUCAAAGCUUGAACUGCGACUCUUCACUUGGCUCCGCAGGCCCCGGGCAACUUGAACACCUGGCA